rnacentral:lncRNA from 1 species
UUCUUUUUACACAGCCUAACACUAUCUUCACAAGUCUGAGGAUUCAACCUAUUGGUAUUUUUCUAAACUGGUUUCUUCUGUGGGCUGGUAGCUGUGAUAUUUGUGAACAAAUAUUUUUCCUAAAUGAAUUGUGACACCCUUUAGUUCUUCAAAAUUUAACUUCUUUUGGAGAUUUGGGGGAGAGGCUUUCAGAGACUCUCAGAACAAGAACCAAAAAUUAGGAAUCAGCUCUUUAGAAAGUAGCAGCUACUACUACUACUAAGUUACUUCAGUCGUGUCUGACUCUCUGCGACGCCAUAAAUGAGUCGUGUCUGACUCUCUGUGACCCCAUAAAUGGCAGUCCGCCAGGCUCCGCCGUUCCUGGGAUUCUCCAGGCAAGAGCGCUGGAGUGGGUUGCAUUUCCUUCUCCAAUGCAUGAAAGUGAAAGGUGAAAGUGAAGUAGCUCAGUCGUGUCCGACCCUCAGCAACCACAUGGACUGCAGCCUACCAGGCUCCUCCACCGAUGGGAUUUUCCAGGCAAGAGCACACGUUGCUAAUCCUAUUGGCGUUGGUUUUACUCCUUUCUUGCAUCCUGGCCUCCAGAGUUUAGGAAAAGAUUGAAGACACUAAAUCAGCUAUCAACAACCAUCCAGGACUUUGGAAUGAAACAGGAAGCAAAGAAACACUCGACAAGUUAUAUUUAAGCUUGAGUGAAGUCUGUAGUAUGGGCCACUCUUUAAGGGGCAGCUAAAUUUUUACAUGAAAUAGGAUGGCGUGACUAUUCUGUAAACCAGAACUAUAAUAUUUAAUAUUGUUAUCACAACAAGGAAUAAACAAUUGCUUAAGGAAAUGGGUGAUCUUGGUUCUCUGAGCUACAGUGCUGACUCAGUCAUGCAGAACUAAUUUCCUGGCCGUCUCUGAAUGCACAUAAAGCUGCUCUGUAGCUGCCGCUGACAAUGAACUAGUGACUGGAAAAAGGAAUCUUAAACACAGUCACAUCUCUUCACUGUUAAAAUCCUGUUCACAAAGCGGCCUGAUGUAAUAUGCUGCACGACAGGAAUAGCAUUUUUUAAAAAUGGCUAAACAGUAUACAAAAUUUCUCAUCUUCCUUUUGGGGGAGUGUUGCUAGGCAACUAUAUCAUUUAUAUAUAUUUAUUCCUCAGAGCACCAAAAGUCUGUUCUGGCUAUUUUUUUUCCAAUGAAUACUUACAUGUUGAAAAGUUUGUUGGAUACAUGAUUUUAUAGUAAAUAUUUGCCAUGACAUCUUAAAUGAGACAAUUGUUUAAAUUUUGAAUGACUUUUUUUAAAGUCCUAAAAUAAUUUAAGUAGAGAAUUUUGUAGGAAGAGAGCUAAUAUCUGAUAUGUAAAAGAAAUACAUCACUUUAAGCAACUUGUAACCUAAUUACAAAGGCUGACUUGCUAAUUAGUGUUUAUCGAUUGGGAUGCAUCACAUGACUGAGUUUGUUUAAAUUGCAAAUAUUAGAGCCACACUGAUUUCUCAGACUUUACUACUUGGCAGAAAACAAAGCUGAAAGUUGCAUCAUACAGUCACCCCGUGUGGGAUUUGCAAGGGACUGAUUGUACUGGCGAGCCUUCUGGGCACAUAACAGGACUUUACUGCCCUCUAGUAGUUACAGGAUUUGCCAUGUUCAUUUGACAAAUUGGUUGUAUUUAGGAAUUUAGAGAUAUCUGAAAGAAACAUAGCUUCAGUAUCUAAGAGGAAUGAUUAAAUGUGUUAGAUGUGAAGAUAAGACUAGAUAAUUUUUUUUAUCAGUCUCAUCUGAGUUAAGCAUUAAUGUAAAAUUCAAUUAGGAUAUAGUCAUAUUGGCUCCUUCUUUCUUAUCUUAUUUGAUUCACCUUUUCAUCAUGUGUGAUACCUUCUAGUCAACAUCAAUGUUUGAAACAAAUUUAAUAUGAGGAAAUAGGUUCUUUUAUGUAUUAGAAAAUAUGGUAUAGAAGAAAACAAGUUGGGUUUAUAAAAUACACAAUUGAUUACAGCAGAUUUAUUAAAUCCAAAAUAUGU